CUCGGAUGACGCAGCGCUGUGACGUAGCGGUGGGCUCCUACUGAACUUCCCAGGAUUCUCAGGAGGAUCCUCGGCGUCCAGACCCCAGCUGGCUUCAGGUCAGGUCAGAAGUAUUUCAGUCACAGCCCUGUCAUGAAAAAGGAAACCAUACCAACAUUUUAACAGAGAGGAGUCCUGGAGGCCUGAAAAGCCAAAAGACAAGAGGAUAAUUAGUGUCUCCUGUUGGCAGAAGCCAGACUGCAAAACAUGGAUGGAGUCUCUACAUUUCCAUCCCAGCACCACAGAGCCAAUUACAGAACACCCCACUCCCCAGUGAUCAGGAUUCGAGGCCAUUUAGGCUAUCCCGAUUUCCAGCUACAUCUGUUCUCCAGGCAAGAUGUCAAAGAAUUCUUCUCAGAAGACACUAAAAGUCUCCACAGAGAAGACCUCCAACUAUUGGUAUUUGGGGUCAAUGAAAGAAAAGGCUGACACCCCAUCUAGAGUAUCUUACAUUCCAGAAAGUAACAAUGCCUAUGUCAGCAAUAAAGAUCCUAAAUAUUUUACAGAAAAAAAGAACACAGAUCACAUACAAAGGAAUAAGAAUCUGAAUCGCUUUGGACUGAUCAACUGCAAACC